AUUGUUUCUCUCGGCCUUUUGGCUAAGGUCAAGUGUAGUAUAUGUUCUUAUCAGUUUAACAUCUAAUACGUCCUAAAAAAAAAAAAAAAUGAGACCUGGGGUGAAGGGUGCAGCCAGACCACUGUGACUCCACGGCCUACGCGGCCAGGCUCUCUCACCUGUGUGCCCACAGGCCAAUCCCA
rnacentral:snRNA from 1 species